rnacentral:rRNA from 1 species
AUACGUAGGUGGCAAGCGUUGUCCGGAAUUGUUGGGCGUAAAGCGCGCGCAGGCGGUCCUUUAAGUCUGAUGUGAAAGCCCACGGCUCAACUGUGGAGGGUCAUUGGAAACUGGGGGACUUGAGUGCAGAAGAGGAAAGUGGAAUUCCAAGUGUAGCGGUGAAAUGCGUAGAGAUUUGGAGGAACACCAGUGGCGAAGGCGACUUUCUGGUCUGUAACUGACGCUGAGGCGCGAAAGCGUGGGGAGCAAACAGGAUUAGAUACCCUGGUAGUCCACGCCGUAAACGAUGAGUGCUAAGUGUUAGGGGGUUUCCGCCCCUUAGUGCUGCAGCUAACGCAUUAAGCACUCCGCCUGGGGAGUACGGUCGCAAGACUGAAACUCAAAGGAAUUGACGGGG